CCCUUCGGGGUGGAUUAGUGGCGAACGGGUGAGUAACACGUGGGCAAUCUGCCCUUCACUCUGGGACAAGCCCUGGAAACGGGGUCUAAUACCGGAUAACACCGGCUUCCGCAUGGGAGCUGGUUGAAAGCUCCGGCGGUGAAGGAUGAGCCCGCGGCCUAUCAGCUUGUUGGUGGGGUAAUGGCCUACCAAGGCGACGACGGGUAGCCGGCCUGAGAGGGCGACCGGCCACACUGGGACUGAGACACGGCCCAGACUCCUA
rnacentral:rRNA from 1 species